rnacentral:rRNA from 1 species
CUGCCGAACAGUUUGUAUUAUCUCUCUGGGCAAUCUGCCCUUCACUCUGGGACAAGCCCUGGAAACGGGGUCUAAUACCGGAUAACACUCUGUCCCUCAUGGGGCGGAGUUAAAAGCUCCGGCGGUGAAGGAUGAGCCCGCGGCCUAUCAGCUUGUUGGUGGGGUAAUGGCCUACCAAGGCGACGACGGGUAGCCGGCCUGAGAGGGCGACCGGCCACACUGGGACUGAGACACGGCCCAGACUCCUACGGGAGGCAGCAGUGGGGAAUAUUGCACAAUGGGCGAAAGCCUGAUGCAGCGACGCCGCGUGAGGGAUGACGGCCUUCGGGUUGUAAACCUCUUUCAGCAGGGAAGAAGCGAAAGUGACGGUACCUGCAGAAGAAGCGCCGGCUAACUACGUGCCAGCAGCCGCGGUAAUACGUAGGGCGCAAGCGUUGUCCGGAAUUAUUGGGCGUAAAGAGCUCGUAGGCGGCUUGUCACGUCGGAUGUGAAAGCUCGGGGCUUAACCCCGAGUCUGCAUUCGAUACGGGCUAGCUAGAGUGUGGUAGGGGAGAUCGGAAUUCCUGGUGUAGCGGUGAAAUGCGCAGAUAUCAGGAGGAACACCGGUGGCGAAGGCGGAUCUCUGGGCCAUUACUGACGCUGAGGAGCGAAAGCGUGGGGAGCGAACAGGAUUAGAUACCCUGGUAGUCCACGCCGUAAACGUUGGGAACUAGGUGUUGGCGACAUUCCACGUCGUCGGUGCCGCAGCUAACGCAUUAAGUU